AGUGAACGCUGGCGGUAGGCCUAACACAUGCAAGUCGAACGGCAGCACAGUAAGAGCUUGCUCUUACGGGUGGCGAGUGGCGGACGGGUGAGGCAUACAUCGGAAUCUACUUUUUCGUGGGGGAUAACGUAGGGAAACUUACGCUAAUACCGCAUACGACCUACGGGUGAAAGCAGGGGAUCUUCGGACCUUGCGCGAUUGAAUGAGCCGAUGUCGGAUUAGCUAGUUGGCGGGGUAAAGGCCCACCAAGGCGACGAUCCGUAGCUGGUCUGAGAGGAUGAUCAGCCACACUGGAACUGAGACACGGUCCAGACUCCUACGGGAGGCAGCAGUGGGGAAUAUUGGACAAUGGGCGCAAGCCUGACCCAGCCAUACCGCGUGGGUGAAGAAGGCCUUCGGGUUGUAAAGCCCUUUUGUUGGGAAAGAAAAGCAGCAUGUUAAUACCCCGCUGUUCUGACGGUACCCAAAGAAUAAGCACCGGCUAACUUCGUG
rnacentral:rRNA from 1 species